AGGCCAGUAGCUCAUAAUUGGUAGAGCGGCAGACUCCAAAUCUGCGGGUUGGGGGUUCGAGUCCCUCCUGGCCUG
rnacentral:tRNA from 1 species